CGAACUCGUCCCAACAUCCUGUCACCACAUACUAAAUGUUUAUAAAUUAUGAAAGUCAACGCCACAUUCUCAAUUCAUUACUCGAGCUGGUUAAUCAUACGUCAGAACACUUUGGUAUCUCAUCGAAGUAACAUCGUGCUCUAAAGAGUGUAUUCCAGAGUCAUUUUUAACUAAAAAUCUAUUAGAAAUCUCAAAAUUAUUGUUUUUUGAGUGUGUGCCUUGACAGUUUUUUAAUUUGUGAUACCAGCUUAUUGAUUGGUUUCUGAAUCCUAGAAGAAUAUUUUAUUAUUUUCGAAGAAUUUAUUCAGAAUUACGAUGUUUCGCUUGAUAUUUGCACUAGCUUUUCUAUUACAUAUACGUGGAGAUGAAAAUUCACCCUACGAGUAAUAUGCUACUACCUAUUAUGAAUCCUAAACCAGUUGAACCAAUCGAAUUACUAGAGAUGAUAUUCUGUGGAUGUAAAACAAACUGUAACACAUCCCGAUGUUCGUGCAAAAAGGCUGGAAUAAAAUGUAGUUACAGUUGUAAAAAUUGCAAUGGCCAAAACUGUGAAAAUGCUUCAAAUUCGCAUAAGGUCAUACUUGAGAGUGAUACAGAAGAGCGACAAGAUGAUAUAGAUGAUAUAGAAGAUAAUGAAAAUCUGUGGAAUGAUGAAAUAAAUGAUUUUCAAGAAGAAGAAGUUGAUGAAUCACAAACUGAAAAUUAAAACAUUUUGCUGAAAAAUUCUGUCAAUUCUAUUUACUAGAAUAAUAUAACCAUUUUAUUAUAUAUUAAAUUUUUACAAUAAUCAUAUUUAUUUAAAUUUGGCAGUUUUAUCCUUGUAUUAUUGAUGUUGCUUCAUAAUAACAUUAAAAAAUGCUAUCGUAAAUUUUUCAACAAUAAUUUACUUACAGCGUCAUUGGUGCACCGGUUAAAUCAAAUUUGGGAUGCAAGGUAAUGCCAUUUUUCUGCUCAUUGGAUAGCUAUAUUGGACGCAUUCAAGCGCGGCUCGGUUUCCGCCGUCCCGCCGCUGCGCGCGGAGAGAGCGGUGGCGGCCAUGUCGUCUGCGCGCUCCCCUCUCCUGUCUCUACACCAAGCAAAUUUCUUUUUCAUUAAUUAUCUCGGAACUUUGCGCUCAUCGGAAUCGAGUAAAAAAUCGUUUCCAAUACAAAAUUUAACGCUCUUUCCAUUGAUGCCAGCCAUUUUUUCAUAGGUCAAGCCGAUCUCGAGAUAUAAGCAAAAAUAACUUUCGCACGCUGUUUUCGCAUAGAACCCCUCGUUCUAGGAAGUUGCAAAUUUCAGAAUCGGUUUUUCCGACCCCGAUUUACCAAAAAUGCAGCCAUUUCUACCGCAGGGCGAUUUCACAGCUAAUUUUACUGGACUAUAUCUUCGAAUAUUCAAAUUGAUUUUAUAUAUCAUCUGGAUUUAAGUAUAUUGCUCCAAAACUCCGAAAAUCUUAUGGAAACAAAUUUUGUAUACAUAUGAUUUAGCAUGUAAUUAUCAUGUGUAAAAUAUUAUCAGGUAAAUAUCUCAAAUUACGUGUAACUCAAUUCUAUUUAUAACGUACUUCUUCCGUAUGAUUAUUAUUUAUUCAUAAAAGUAAAAGAGGCAACGGCUUUAACUAUUAUAAUGCAAUUAAUCAUUUUAAAACAUUUGCAGUUUAUUGAGGUUUGAUACUAAUAUAAUAUUAUCUUCCGUGGUAGUAUAAUCUAGAUAUCUACUUUACCAACAAUCGUUUAUAGUAGUAGUAAAAAUAUCUAUAUCUGGUAGUUCGAGAGGUUUUGCGGCUUAUUCGGUGGCGGCGACCAGAUGGCGGUGAGCUAGAUCUUCUGCUGGCGCGCAUUAUAUUAUAAUCUGCCAAAAACUUGAAUAAUAGUUCACUUGGUUUAAUAAUUUAUAGAUAUAUCUUUACGCAAUAAUUUUUUUUGCUGAGAAUAAAAACAAUCGACCAUAACUUCUUUGUAAAGGCAGAUUAGCUGAUUAUAGUCUAGACUUUGCAUUAUAUAUUUUUCAAAAAGAUUCUUCGAACAUCCAUUUUCAAAUUUAUUUCUAUCUGUGACGAGUGAUUAAUUUUCAUGCCAUACCACCCUUCUGCUUCAAACUUAUAGACCACGAGAGCAUCAGGAACUGCGUAUAAUCUUAAAUAAGCAAAAACCACAUGUGUUUUCCCAUAUAAGGCGUUCGGGUGUCGAACGCGCGAAGAUUUUCUAGCAGAUAGCAGAAUUGUCGAGAGCGCAUACAAAUAAGACUACCGGAACGCGCUAAAAAGAAAAAUAAUAAACCCCUCGAAUAGAUAAAAAAUAUCUCUUUCAGCCAGCACUUCCAGCCAAGCAUCCUCUCUCUCCUUGCUUCAAUGUGGAGAAUAAUAUGUAAUACGAUUUCUAUGCUUUACGUAAUACACGUAAUGAGAAUCAGAGUUUGAUAAGGGCGACAUCCGCAAAUAUUCUGAUGUGACUUCUUGACAAAACGACUUGAAUUUCAUAUUUUCGUCUUUGCAAAAUAGUAUAUUCGUAAUGAAACUGCGACUAAAGAUAUAGCCGUAGCCCACGUGCACGGGGUUGAGAAAUUUUGUACGUCUUCCUCGCACUGUUCGUCUCAUAGGAAGAUCCUUCGAAAGGUUUGUGUACAGAUAAUUGUGUAUGCAUACACGUGCGUAAAGGGUUGCGACUUAUACUUCGCGUGACAUCGGGUUGACGAGGCGGAGCGAAGUUAAUGGCCAGCGAGAAAGGAGCUGUUCGAGUUGCAGGACAGAGAUUUAUGAUGCGCUACUACAUGUAUACGCUGUCGUUUCGCUGUUUAGGGAAGCUGAAUAAGCAAAUCAAGCGUUUAUCGAUUUGAAAUUUUGAGAAGUGCUCAAGAUAAAAUAAUGUGGGUGUAUGCUUGUAUCUUCCGGUCGCGCAGGAGAUAAGACCGUCUGAUGCACUGUGAUGAGAAUCAAAACGCUGCAAUUUUCGUGCACUGCGAUAUUGGAUAUUAAUUUUAUUUUAGCAAAUAAUAUUGUCGUGUCCGAGCCUGAACGCGAUUGCGCGAUUCGAACACCAAGAAUCGCGCAUAGCGACCUUAGCAACGAGAUCAACGACAUCGCGGAUGUUAUUGUUUAUGUUUAGUCUGGUUUUGUCAGCUGUUGAGAACAAUUGUGUUUACGUUCGAAUAAAGAGUCCGAGUUCAAGAGUAAUUUUCUAUAAAUAA